rnacentral:rRNA from 1 species
AUAUGGGAAUAAAGUGCAGUAUGUAUACUGCUUUGCAUGUACCUUAUGAAUAAGGAUCGGCUAACUCCGUGCCAGCAGCCGCGGUAAUACGGAGGAUCCGAGCGUUAUCCGGAUUUAUUGGGUUUAAAGGGAGCGUAGGCGGGUUGUUAAGUCAGUUGUGAAAGUUUGCGGCUCAACCGUAAAAUUGCAGUUGAUACUGGCAUCCUUGAGUACAGUAGAGGUAGGCGGAAUUCGUGGUGUAGCGGUGAAAUGCUUAGAUAUCACGAAGAACUCCGAUUGCGAAGGCAGCCUGCUGGACUGUAACUGACGCUGAUGCUCGAAAGUGUGGGUAUCAAACAGGAUUAGAUACCCUGGUAGUCCACACAGUAAACGAUGAAUACUCGCUGUUUGCGAUAUACAGUAA